AGCAAUAAAUAUUAAUUUCCAAAAAAUACUGAUGACUCUGAAUUGUAAAGAAAAUUAUUUUCUUACAUUAACUUGUAUAUCGACAAACACAUUCAUUUAUCCAAUUGUCAAUUAUUAAUGGUUGAUGUAUGGAUUAGCUUCUGUAACAGGGUAACGAUUGUUUACAUUAUUAAAAUGUAGACACCUUUUUUGAAAGCUUAUCAAAUAUAUUUCUUUCGCAACAGGAUGAAUAUUCAAGUGGAAGAGUGCACGAGCUAACAGGAGACUGCGAAGGUCUGAAUAGUUCGGUGAGCAACAAGAAGACAUAUGAUAAGGGUUAUGCCUAUAUUGAACAGCUUUCAUUUGAAAAACAAUUUUCCCCUCCGGUACCGAUGUUCUCUCCCUUCGAAAUUCCAGAUUUGAUGUAUGGUAUGAUGAGAGGUAAAGUCCUGUCAUUCGUGACAGACAGGGUCCUUGGCGCAAUGACGAUAACAUUUGCUGGCAAUGUUGUUAUGAACGGAACUAUUCCCAACUUCCCCCAAAGCAGUUUUGUAACGCAUAUGUAAAUACAUGUUUAUUAGUUUCAUUGUUUAUAAACAAUUAUGGCUUAGAAAGUAAUCAUUACAAACAACACUUAUAAGUGUUUAAAAAAAUCGCCGUUUUGUUGGUUAUUCGUUGUGUUUUUGUUUUUAAAUAGACUCCUUCCUGCUAUAUUUUUUUUCUUUUGAGAAAAAUAUUCUGAAUAACGUUUACCCCGCAGGAGCCUUCACACUGGUUUUAAGCUCCGUUUUCAAGCUCCGUGCACGGAAAUAGUAUUUCAAUUCUAUAUACAAGAAGUCUGAGAACAACAUGGCAGAUGGUUAACUCAAUACAUAUACAAGUAACAAUCAACUAAUAUAUUAUUCUCGAAUACUUUUUAUAAUAAACAUUUCUUAUUUUUAUUUUAUGCCGUGUUGAAAGAUUCUGUUUAGACAUACUUUUGUCUGUAUAAAUCAAUACUUACAUUGCAAGGGCACUCAUGAACGGGAACAGCAAUAAUGUGUACAGUGAUCCUAAUAUGUGUACAGUGAACAAUUGGCUCCAACUAAAGAAACUACGUUUUUCUUUCAAAUUCCAAACAAAUGUCAGCAUGGAGGUAAUCAUCAAAGAUUCGACCUUGUGCAGGUUUGACAUAAUGCAGGGCAAUCUUGGCAACAUAAAGUACUUGUUAGUGUCAAAUGAAGUGCAUUCAAUUUCUUUCGGUUUACAUACCUUUAUUUGAUAAAAACCUACGUAAGUUAAUAAUGCCUCGAUGAAAAUUUUAAGUGUUUUUUUUUUAAUUCUAAAACGCCUAUGAAUUUAACAUUUAGAAUAAAUGUAAAAAACUGAACACACAUUUACUUUACAAUUUUCUAAACGAUGCAAUGUUGAUUUUGAAAAAGUUACUUCUUUACAUUUUAUUUAUCAUACAACAUUUUCCACUUAUUAUUUUCAUGUUUGCAACGAAUGUUUCACCCAGAUUUUUAUAUUCAUUGUUCAACCAGAGGUUCCUAGGAACGAGACAGGAGGCAUACUUGAAUAAGGACUUGAACAUUUUCCACUUAUUAUUUUCAUGUUUGCAACGAAUGUUUCACCCAGAUUUUUAAAUUCAUUGUUCAACCAGAGGUUCCUAGGAACGAGACAGGAGGCAUACUUGAAUAAGGACUUGGCAGUAUUUUGGGAAAGAUAAACAUUUAAGUAGCUUUGUAUGUGUUUAUGACUCCCCAAUUAUAUGUAAGAAAAUUGAAAAUCAAGCAUUGUUUUAAUUGUCAAGAAAUCAUAUUAUUUUACUGAUAGUUAAUUAGGCAUUUUUGAAAUUGUUAUCGAUCAGUUAUUUGGUUUAGAGGAAUUGGACAUAUUCUGGUAUGUACUCAUUCUUUAUGAAUAUGGCCCAAAUUGAUAUAUUUCAGGGGCUUGAUGCUAUUCUUUAUAUUUGGAGCUGUUUAUUUCACCAAUGGAAUGUCAUAAAUCGUUGAACAUUUGUUACUCUCAAAAUACAGGCUAAAAAGAUGACAAUCAGGCAUUUGCGCUAAACAAUAAAGGAAAUUUGAAUAAAUUUUGCGAAAAAUCUAAGUGUAUAAAUGACAGUUUUUAAUUGCACUUGGUUUCUUAUAAUUUUAAAGGAAUCGGUCAAAAUUUGAGUUAUAUUCUGGAUGUAUAUGACCUUAAUUGAUUCAUUUAAGGGGUUAGGAGCGAUGACUUCUAAUCCAGUUACCUCUCUGGCGUGAGUUCGAUCCCCGGGAGAUGCUUUGGUAGUUUAGCGCGGAGGAAGGUAGACUAGUACCGGUGUAACUCUCCAGGAACGAUGGUUAGGAAACUACCCGCCUAUAUAACUGAAAUACUGUUGGUAAAAGGCGUAAAAUGAAACAAACAAACAAAUUUUUUUAGGGGAAUAAUUGCAAAUUUUCAUUUUUGUGAAGGAAUUUUAUAUAUCGUUGAAUAAUGCAGAGCAUCUGUUUUAGUGCUUGUGUAAAAAAAUUAAAACAUUCGGACUUGUGUAUUCAGCCAUUCCUCUCUGAACUUCAAAAUUGACCAUUGCCCAUUGCCUCUUAGACAUACAUUUUCAAGUUCUCAUAGUUAUAAUGGCAAUUGACUUUAGUAGUGGAAUUCGACAAAUUAGACGUUAUAUACAGAGAAUAGUGAUUUUGUUUUUGCAAACACAUGACUUGAUAUUAACUGUUUAAAUGUUGUUUUAUCUAUGUAACAGUACAAACAUUAAAGUCAGGCAUAUAAAAGAGAAGCUACUGUCCAUACCUCCUGUGAAAUAAAAAAAGUCCCCGUUGGCGUAUGGGUAAUAAACAUACUAAAUGCAGAUGUUUACAAAUAUUUAACUGAUGAUUGCAUUUUGUAAUUAUUCUUGUAUACCUUUAAAAACACAUCAGUACCUUCUAAGCUACAAGUCUCAAAUGCUUCUUUUUUAAUACUUCUUAUCAACUGGCAGACUAAUAAAAAGUUAGAUAAUAAGCUAGCAAUUAGAAAGACAUUUUGAAAAAAAAAGUUUAUGAGAAUUCAAUGAUAAAAUCUCGUUGGAUAAAUCAGAUGCAAUAAAUAAUACAGAAAUAUAUUUUAAUAGUUAAGUGUUAACUUUCAAUAUUCCAGUAUCUGAUACAAGAUUUGUCUUCAGUUUUUUUAUUGCAGUUAUCUAUUUAUUUUAUUUUUCUAAUAAAUCACACUACCAUCUUGGAAUAAAC